AUGUCUUCCUCCACCUCCUCCUUCCAGCCAACCCUCAGCGGCGGAGUCACGGAGAAACUCUCCCGCACCAACUACAUCCUGUGGCGAACCCAAAUAACGCCACAGCUGCGGGGCGCCGGCGUCUACCACUAUGUCGAUGGCACGUCGACCGAGCCGGCCAAAACCCACGUCACCAAAGAUGCCGCUGGGAAAGAAACAGAAGGGCCGAAUCCUCUCCAUCCGCUCUGGGUGAAGGAGGAUCAGCAAGUCCUUGGAUAUCUACUUCAACGCUUAUCCAAGGAAGUGCUCGUCACGGUGACCGUGAUCACCACGACGCGCGAACUCUGGGUGGCGCUGGCGAGCAUGUUCUCGUCGCAGUCACUCAGCCGCGUCAACAACAUUCGCACGGUGCUGAUCAAC
rnacentral:rRNA from 1 species